AUUGAACGCUGGCGGCAGGCUUAACACAUGCAAGUCGAGCGGAGAUGAGGUGCUUGCACCUUAUCUUAGCGGCGGACGGGUGAGUAAUGCUUAGGAAUCUGCCUAUUAGUGGGGGACAACAUUCCGAAAGGAAUGCUAAUACCGCAUACGUCCUACGGGAGAAAGCAGGGGAUCUUCGGACCUUGCGCUAAUAGAUGAGCCUAAGUCGGAUUAGCUAGUUGGUGGGGUAAAGGCCUACCGAGGCGACGAUCUGUAGCGGGUCUGAGAGGAUGAUCCGCCACACUGGGACUGAGACACAGCCGAGACACCGACGGGAGGCAGCAGUGGGGAAUAUUGGACAAUGGGGGAAACCCUGAUCCAGCCAUGCGGCGUGUGUGAAGAAGGCCUUAUGGUUGUAAAGCACUUUAAGCGAGGAGGAGGCUACUGAGACUAAUACUCUUGGAUAGUGGACGUUACUCGCAGAAUAAGCACCGGCUAACUCUGUGCCAGCCGCCGCAGUAA
rnacentral:rRNA from 1 species